AUUGAACGCUGGCGGCAUGCUUUACACAUGCAAGUCGAACGGCAGCGCGGGCUUCGGCCUGGCGGCGAGUGGCGAACGGGUGAGUAAUGCAUCGGAACGUGCCCAGUAGUGGGGGAUAGCCCGGCGAAAGCCGGAUUAAUACCGCAUACGACCUGAGGGUGAAAGCGGGGGACCGAAAGGCCUCGCGCUAUUGGAGCGGCCGAUGUCGGAUUAGCUAGUUGGUGGGGUAAAGGCUUACCAAGGCGACGAUCCGUAGCUGGUCUGAGAGGACGACCAGCCACACUGGGACUGAGACACGGCCCAGACUCCUACGGGAGGCAGCAGUGGGGAAUUUUGGACAAAGGGGGCAAGCCUGAUCCAGCCAUGCCGCGUGCGGGAAGAAGGCCUUCGGGUUGUAAACCGCUUUUGUUCGGGAAGAAAUCCUCUGGGCUAAUACCCCGGGGGGAUGACGGUACCGGAAGAAUAAGCACCGGCUAACUACGUG
rnacentral:rRNA from 1 species